ACAGGGAUGGAUUGAUGGUGGGCCUUUCUCUGGGGGCCUCUCAUAGUAUACCCAUGCUAGGGGAGUAUGCAGCCCUGACCCACUGCCCAGCUUCUUCACUGAUGAGCUGUGAGCACUGAAGGGAAUUUUGAAGUG
ensembl:snoRNA